AGGUGUGAUCAUACCAACACUAAUAUACCGGAUCCCAUCAGAACUCCGCAGUUAAGCGUGUCUGGGUGAGAGUAGUACUAGGAUGGGUGACCUCCUGGAAAGUCCUCGUGUUGCAUCCC